AGCAGUGGGGAAUAUUGCGCAAUGGGCGAAAGCCUGACGCAGCAACGCCGCGUGCGGGAUGACGGCCUUCGGGUUGUAAACCGCUUUCAGCAGGGACGAAGGGUUUCUGACGGUACCUGCAGAAGAAGCACCGGCUAACUACGUGCCAGCAGCCGCGGUGAUACGUAGGGUGCGAGCGUUGUCCGGAAUUAUUGGGCGUAAAGAGCUUGUAGGCGGUCCGUUGCGUCGGAAGUGAAAACUCAGGGCUUAACCCUGAGCCUGCUUUCGAUACGGGCGGACUUGAGGGAUGUAGGGGAGAACGGAAUUCCUGGUGGAGCGGUGGAAUGCGCAGAUAUCAGGAGGAACACCAGUGGCGAAGGCGGUUCUCUGGACAUUUCCUGACGCUGAGAAGCGAAAGCGUGGGGAGCAAACAGGCUUAGAUACCCUGGUAGUCCACGCCGUAAACGGUGGGCACUAGGUGUGGGAUCCAUUCCACGGAUUCCGUGCCGAAGCUAACGCAUUAAGUGC
rnacentral:rRNA from 1 species